rnacentral:rRNA from 1 species
GAGAGUUUGAUCCUGGCUCAGGAUGAACGCUAGCUACAGGCUUAACACAUGCAAGUCGAGGGGCAGCAUGGUCUUAGCUUGCUAAGGCCGAUGGCGACCGGCGCACGGGUGAGUAACGCGUAUCCAACCUGCCUUACACCCUUGGACAGCCUUCUGAAAGGGAGAUUAAUACAAGAUGUUAUCAUGAGUAAGCAUUUUCGCAUGAUUAAAGGUUUACCGGUGUAAGAUGGGGAUGCGUUCCAUUAGAUAGUAGGCGGGGUAACGGCCCACCUAGUCUUCGAUGGAUAGGGGUUCUGGGAGGAAGGUCCCCCACAUUGGAACUGAGACACGGUCCAAACUCCUACGGGAGGCAGCAGUGAGGAAUAUUGGUCAAUGGACGAGAGUCUGAACCAGCCAAGUAGCGUGAAGGAUGAAGGUUCUAUGGAUUGUAAACUUCUUUUAUACGGGAAUAAACGGAUCCACGUGUGGAUUUUUGCAUGUACCGUAUGAAUAAGGAUCGGCUAACUCCGUGCCAGCAGCCGCGGUAAUACGGAGGAUCCGAGCGUUAUCCGGAUUUAUUGGGUUUAAAGGGAGCGUAGAUGGGUUGUUAAGUCAGUUGUGAAAGUUUGCGGCUCAACCGUAAAAUUGCAAUUGAUACUGGCAGUCUUGAGUACAGUUGAGGUAGGCGGAAUUCGUGGUGUAGCGGUGAAAUGCUUAGAUAUCACGAAGAACUCCGAUUGCGAAGGCAGCUUACUAACCUGUAACUGACAUUGAUGCUCGAAAGUGUGGGUAUCAAACAGGAUUAGAUACCCUGGUAGUCCACACGGUAAACGAUGAAUACUCGCUGUAGGCGAUAUACAGUCUGCGGCCAAGCGAAAGCAUUAAGUAUUCCACCUGGGGAGUACGCCGGCAACGGUGAAACUCAAAGGAAUUGACGGGGGCCCGCACAAGCGGAGGAACAUGUGGUUUAAUUCGAUGAUACGCGAGGAACCUUACCCGGGCUUAAAUUGCAACCGAAUAUGGCGGAAACGCUAUAGCUAGCAAUAGCGGUUGUGAAGGUGCUGCAUGGUUGUCGUCAGCUCGUGCCGUGAGGUGUCGGCUUAAGUGCCAUAACGAGCGCAACCCUUGCCGAUAGUUACUAACAGGUUAUGCUGAGGACUCUGUCGGGACUGCCAUCGUAAGAUGUGAGGAAGGUGGGGAUGACGUCAAAUCAGCACGGCCCUUACGUCCGGGGCUACACACGUGUUACAAUGGGGGGUACAGAGGGCUGCUGCCACGCAAGUGGAUGCCAAUCCCAAAAACCUCUCUCAGUUCGGAUUGAAGUCUGCAACCCGACUUCAUGAAGCUGGAUUCGCUAGUAAUCGCGCAUCAGCCACGGCGCGGUGAAUACGUUCCCGGGCCUUGUACACACCGCCCGUCAAGCCAUGGGAGCCGGGGGUACCUGAAGUGCGUAACCGCAAGGAGCGCCCUAGGGUAAAACUGGUGACUGGGGCUAAGUCGUAACAAGGUAGCCG